UCCUGGUAGACUGAGGCUUGGGAUGGUUAUGAGUACCUUUGUAGACAAUCUCAGUGACCUGGCCUUCCAAGGAUCUUUCCACUUUCUUCUUAGUUGGGCAAUUGGGGUAUGUGCACUUGUAAUAGCUUCUCGGGUUUUCGCUUCCUUUCACUUGUUUCUGCCCAUAUUUCCUCCAAUUGUACCCGUCCUCUGAUCUUCUCUGCUCUCUAAUUGACUGAGAUGAUGCGUGGUAACUGCCAUAAUCCGAUUGGAAUCCAUUGUUGCCGUUUCCGUUGCUCUGAGUGUUAGUUUGGAUCGUGGCAAUCUCAGGGGAGAAGCUCUGGUAGGAACCAAAUUCAGAUUUCACCGUAGUUUUUUCUGAUGAAAAACUAUCUUGCUUGGUUGGUUCUUGAAAACUCCAAGCUGGUUGCUGUCCUCUCAAGGCUUGUUCCUAAGAAUUUUAAACAAUUCAAAGAUUAUUAAAGAGAACCCAGAUCAGAGAAAGCUAAGGAAGAUCGAAAUCCAGAACAUACAGUAGUAAUCGUGGUGGUUGAAGGCUGAAACAUGCUUGCUGAAGUCGUGGAAGGCCUUGCCUGGGGUUGGAACGAAAAAUCUAGGUAGUUUUUAUCUUCCCUUUUGACAUCCUGCUGGUUGCUGUUCGAAUUACUCCUCCAAUUGAAGCCCUGAGAUGGAAAAGUUCCUGUUGUCGGAGAAGGCAGAAUCUGCAUACAAACACAAAUACCCAUAAAUUAAAUUCCACAAGAAACCCCCAGACAUGGACCAAACCAACACCCGAUAAGCUAAAAUCCUUCGAAGAGAUUCAAAAAGAUGGAACAACCUCGGGUCUAUGUCCUAAUUCCCCGUUUGGUUGCCAAGAAAAUGAUUGAACUAAGCUCAACAGAGUCAAGCUCUCUGUUCCCACCACAAAAACAUGAAAACAAAGGAAGAAGAAAUACACAUACGUUAGAAGUGGAGAGAAGCACAGGCGAGUCGAGAAGUUCAGCUGGGCUCAACCCUGCAGGAAUAGAAAAGUAAGAAGAAGGAGAGAUCGGAGGCGGGGAGAUGGGCAGCGAAGGCGGAGGAAUUGACUUGAACUUCGGCACUCCGGACCCCGUCCUCUCUGCAAUUCGAUCCGAAAGCCCCCUCCCCACGGCACCCUUGUCACCAGUGGUGGUGGUGACGGGAUCCUCGUCGGCGGACGUGAGGAGGUCGGAGUAGGAAGUGGACAUGAAAGAGGAGAAAGAGAAAAGGGGAUGCGAGUUUGCAGAG
rnacentral:lncRNA from 1 species